UACAGAGGUCUCAAGCGUUGUUCGGAUUCAUUGGGCGUAAAGGGUGCGUAGGCGGCGCGGUAAGUCGGAUGUGAAAUCUCGGGGCUUAACUCCGAAACUGCAUUCGAUACUGCCGUGCUUGAGGACUGGAGAGGAGACUGGAAUUUACGGUGUAGCGGUGAAAUGCGUAGAUAUCGUAAGGAAGACCAGUGGCGAAGGCGGGUCUCUGGACAGUUCCUGACGCUGAGGGACGAAAGCUAGGGGAGCGAAUGGG
rnacentral:rRNA from 1 species